CAGUAGCCGCGGUAAAACGGAGGGGGCUAGCGUUGUUCGGAAUUACUGGGCGUAAAGCGCACGUAGGCUGCUUUGUAAGUCAGAGGUGAAAGCCCGGGGCUCAACCCCGGAUGUGCCUUUGAGACUGCAGGGCUAGAACGUCGGAGAGGUGAGUGGAAUUCCGAGUGUAGAGGUGAAAUUCGUAGAUAUUCGGAAGAACACCAGUGGCUAAGGCGGCUCACUGGACGACUGUUGACGCUGAGGUGCGAAAGCGUGGGAGCAAACAGGAUUAGAUACCCGCGUAGUCCCUGUCUCUUAUACA
rnacentral:rRNA from 1 species